GGGUGUCGUGCAGGAAAUAUUGGGCAGACGACUGAAGCAGAAGUUUGGGGCUUAUGUAUCAAAUCUCAUGAGAUCUUUCUCAGCCAGCCUAUUUUGGAAUUGGAGGCACCCCUGAAAAUUUGUGGAGAUAUUCAUGGACAAUAUACAGAUUUGCUGAGAUUAUUUGAAUAUGGAGGUUUCCCACCAGAAGCCAACUGUCUCUUCUUAGGAGACUAUGUGGACAGAGGAAAACAGUCUUUGGAAACCAUUUGUUUACUGUUGGCUUAUAAAAUCAAAUAUCCAGAGAACUUUUUUCUCUUAAGAGGAAACCAUGAAUCAAUUGCAUUUAUGGAUUCUAUGACAAAUGCAAAUGAAGAUUUAAGAUCAACUUUAGGAAGACCUUCACUGAUUGUUUUAACUGUCUGCUUUUUGCUGCCAUUGUAGAUGAGAUCUUCUGUUAUGGAGGGCUGUCACCAGACCUACAAUCUAUAGAACAGAUUCGGAGAAUUAUGAGACCCACUGACAUGCCUGACACAGGUUUGCUUUGUGAUUUGCUGUGGUCUGACCCAGAUUAGGAUGUGCAAGGUUGGGGAGAAAAUGAUCGCGGUGUUCCCUUUACUUUUGGUUUGAUGUAGUCAGUAAAUAUCUGAAUCGUCAUGAUUUAGACUUGAUUUGUCAAGCUCAUCAGAUAGUGGAAGAUGGGUAUGAAUUUUUUGCAAAACAACAGUUGGUAACCCUAUUUUCAGCUCCAAAUUACUGUGGAGAUUUUGAUAAUGCUGGUGAAAUAAUGAAUGUGAAUGAAACUUUGAUGUGCUCCUUUCAGAUACUGAAAACUUCUGAAAAGAAAGCUAAGUACCAGUAUGGUGAACUGAAUUCUGGACACCCUGUCACUCCACCUUGAA